rnacentral:rRNA from 1 species
GACGAACGCUGGCGGCGUGCUUAAUACAUGCAAGUCAACUGAACUUAAGAUAGCAAUAUUUUAAGGGAGGUGGCGCACGGGUGAGUAACACGUAGGUAAUCUGCCUUUAGGACUGACAUAACCCAGAGAAAUCUGGGCUAAUAUCAGAUGAUGCAGCGGCUCGACAUCGAGACAGUUGUUAAACCUUCGGGGCCUAAAGAUGAGCCUGCGUCUGAUUAGGUAGUUGGCGGGGUAACGGCCCACCAAGCCUGCGAUCAGUAACUGGUGUGAGAGCACGACCAGUCACACGGGCACUGAGACACGGGCCCGACUCCUACGGGAGGCAGCAGUAAGGAAUAUUGGUCAAUGGACGAAAGUCUGAACCAGCCAUGCCGCGUGGAGGAUGAAGGUCCUCUGGAUUGUAAACUUCUUUUGCAUGGGACGAAAAAACUUAUUUAUUAAGGACUGACGGUACCAUGAGAAUAAGCACCGGCUAACUCCGUGCCAGCAG